UACGUAGGGUGCGAGCGUUGUCCGGAAUUAUUGGGCGUAAAGAGCUUGUAGGCGGUUUGUCGCGUCUGCUGUGAAAAUCCGGGGCUCAACCCCGGACUUGCAGUGGGUACGGGCAGACUAGAGUGUGGUAGGGGAGACUGGAAUUCCUGGUGUAGCGGUGAAAUGCGCAGAUAUCAGGAGGGACACCGAUGGCGAAGGCAGGUCUCUGGGCCACUACUGACGCUGAGAAGCGAAAGCGUGGGGAGCAAACAGG
rnacentral:rRNA from 1 species